rnacentral:rRNA from 1 species
ACGUGGUUUAAUUCGAUGCAACGCGAAGAACCUUACCUGGGCUUGACAUCCCGGGAAUCCUUGGAAACAAGGGAGUGCCCUUCGGGGAACCUGGAGACAGGUGCUGCAUGGCUGUCGUCAGCUCGUGUCGUGAGAUGUAGGGUUAAGUCCCGCAACGAGCGCAACCCUUGUCUUUAAUUGCCAUCAUUGAGUUGGGCACUUUAAAGAGACUGCCGGUGUUAAACCGGAGGAAGGUGGGGAUGACGUCAAGUCCUCAUGGCCUUUAUGCCCAGGGCUACACACGUGCUACAAUGGGUGGUACAAAGGGUAGCGAUGCCGCGAGGUGAAGCCAAUCCCAAAAAGCCGUCCACAGUUCGGAUCGGAGUCUGCAACUCGACUCCAUGAAGCCGGAAUCGCUAGUAAUCGUGGAUCAGAAUGUCACGGUGAAUACGUUCCCGGGUCUU